ACAAGCGGUGGAGUAUGUGGUUUAAUUCGAUGCAACGCGAAGAACCUUACCUGGCCUUGACAUCCCGGGAAUUUCCUGGAAACAGGAGAGUGCUUUCAUUAGAGAGAACCUGGAGACAGGUGCUGCAUGGCUGUCGUCAGCUCGUGUCGUGAGAUGUUGGGUUAAGUCCCGCAACGAGCGCAACCCUUGCCUUUAGUUGCCAGCAGUUCGGCUGGGCACUCUAAAGGGACUGCCGGUGUCAAACCGGAGGAAGGUGGGGAUGACGUCAAGUCCUCAUGGCCUUUAUGGCCAGGGCUACAAACGUACUACAAUGGCCAAUACAAAGAGAUGCGAAGCGGUGACGUGGAGCGAACCUCAGAAAGUUGGUCUCAGUUCAGAUUGAAGUCUGCAACUCGACUUCAUGAAGGCGGAAUCGCUAGUAAUCGCGGGUCAGCAGACCGCGGUGAAUACGUUCCCGGGUCUU
rnacentral:rRNA from 1 species